rnacentral:lncRNA from 1 species
AAACUCGUUUGCCCCUAAUACUUGAACCCAAUUGUAAAUCUUGGAUAACUAAACUCGUUUACAUUUUUGUCUCAAAUAACGAACUCAUUUGAAUUUCCUUCUCUAUCUCACUCAAGUGAUACAAGACAUAAUAUUUUAUAUGCUCUUCUAGCUCCCAUCUUCUAUCCUCAACUAAUGUAGGAUAUUGCACAUCUCUUCGCUUUUCUUUCAAUCAUCCAGCAUGAAAUAUAUGAAAAAGAAGCAAACACUGUUUGCACACUUUUUUCUCUCCUUACUUCUAUGGAAAAUAAGUUCACCAUCUUUAGCUAAGCUCAAAAGCAGCACCUUAACCUUUUUUGUGCUUAGCCAAACAUGAUUUAUGACAGGUUUUUGCCGUAACGAAUCGCAGGUCUGUGAAGAACUUUGGACUUCCACUACAUAUCUGCCCAUCACAGGACAUAUAUUCUUGUAGUCAGGUCAUGGUGCAUCAAAUGCAGUUGACUCCUACCAUAUAACUAUACGAGAGCUAUCUUACCAUAAAAGGCUGUGAAAAUAGAUACCUGGGGAACCCAAAAAUAACAAAAAACCAAAAUAAUAACCAUGUCUAGAUGUAAAUCUUGUAUAAAGAGGGACAAGCAACUCUUUGAUUUAUAAGGAUAAGUUGAACGUGAAAAGGAUCAAGAAACUGCUUUUCUUUUGCUUUUCUUCUCAUAAUUUGUUUAUAUAUGUGCCGGGGAAAGCUUUAUCACCAAAGCUACAGACUUAAAGAUGGCCUUCAGGCAUCUGAUCCUCAACAGGGCCAACAGGAACCACAGCAGGUAACUCCAAAUAGUCGAAAUCAUCUGUUAUUC